GAUGAAGAACGCAGCGAAAUGCGAUAAGUAGUGUGAAUUGCAGAAUUCAGUGAAUCAUGGAAUCUUUGAACGCACAUUGCGCCCCUUGGUAUUCCAUGGGGCAUGCCUGUUCGAGCGUCAUUUGUACCUUCAAGCUCUGCUUGGUGUUGGGUGUUUGUCUCGCCUCUGCGUGUAGACUCGCCUCAAAACAAUUGGCAGCCGGCGUAUUGAUUUCGGAGCGCAGUACAUCUCGCGCUUUGCACUCAUAACGACGACGUCCAAAAGUACAUUUUUACACUCUUGACCUCGGAUCAGGUAGGGAUACCCGCUGAACUUAAGCAUAUCAAUAAGCGGAGGA
rnacentral:misc_RNA from 1 species